GAUAUGUACUUCAAACUAAUAAAGGCCAUCUAUGAAAAACCCACAACUAAUAUCAUCCUCAAUGGAGAAAAACUGAGAGCUUUUCCUGUAUGGUCAAGAAUAAGACAGGGAUGACCACUCUCACCACAUUACUGGAAGUCUUAGCCUCAGCAAUCAGAC